GAUGAAGAACGUAGCGAAAUGCGAUAAGUAAUGUGAAUUGCAGAAUUCAGUGAAUCAUCGAAUCUUUGAACGCAUAUUGCGCCCCUUGGUUAUUCCGGGAGGCACACCUGUUCGAGCGUCAUUACAACCCUCAAGCUCAGCUUGGUGUUGGGCCCCGCCGCCCCGGCGGGCCCUAAAGUCAGUGGCGGUGCCGUCCGGCUCCGAGCGUAGUAAUUCUUCUCGCUCUGGAGGUCCGGUCGUGUGCUCGCCAGCAACCCCCAAUUUUUUUCAGGUUGACCUCGGAUCAGGUAGGGAUACCCGCUGAACUUAAGCAUAUCAAUAAGCGGAGGA
rnacentral:misc_RNA from 1 species